rnacentral:lncRNA from 1 species
UAUAAAGGUAUAAUCAUCGAUUAUUGUAUUAUUAAGUUAAUUUUUUUUUUUAGAUAAAGGUAUCACGCUACCUACUUUAUUUAUUGGAUAAAUGAACUAGGCUACAGGAGUGAGGCAACCCGGGCCCCGAAGAUUUAAAAAAAAAGAAAGAAGGUUAGAGCUUACAUAGCGAGAAGUGAAUCUCACUCCUUUGCCUGCUGUUUGAGAUUACGAAUCGCCGUUUCCGGAUUCGGAUGAGUUUUCCUAAAGAUGAAGUCAUUUCUGACCUUCCAAGCGAUCCACCAGCAAUAAACUAAAUCAGUUAGACUGUUACUUUUCAUAUGAAGGCCGUUCCUGGCUGCCCAUAUGUCCCAAACUAGAUUCACCUCGUCCCCCAGAUCUUGUGUUUGCACAUCAUUUAUCCCCAUAACUAAUAAAAACUUAGUAAAAACGCACUGGAAGAACAAGUAGUCCACAGUUUUAUCCUUCGAUCCACAUAGUACACAUCAUGCAUCUUGAAUCCACCCUCUCUUAAGAAGCGUAUCUCUCGUA